GACGAACGCUGGCGGCGUGCCUAAUACAUGCAAGUCGAGCGAGCGGAACUAACAGAUUUACUUCGGUAAUGACGUUAGGAAAGCGAGCGGCGGAUGGGUGAGUAACACGUGGGGAACCUGCCCCAUAGUCUGGGAUACCACUUGGAAAUAGGUGCUAAUACCGGAUCAGAAAGCAGAUCGCAUGAUCAGCUUUUAAAAGGCGGCGUAAGCUGUCGCUAUGGGAUGGCCCCGCGGUGCAUUAGCUAGUUGGUAAGGUAAAGGCUUACCAAGGCGAUGAUGCAUAGCCGAGUUGAGAGACUGAUCGGCCACAUUGGGACUGAGACACGGCCCAAACUCCUACGGGAGGCGGCAGUAGGGAAUCUUCCACAAUGGACGCAAGUCUGAUGGAGCAACGCCGCGUGAGUGAAGAAGGUUUUCGGAUCGUAAAGCUCUGUUGUUGGUGAAGAAGGAUAGAGGUAGUAACUGGCCUUUAUUUGACGGUAAUCAACCAGAAAGUCACGGCUAACUACGUG
rnacentral:rRNA from 1 species